UCUCUCUCUCUUUUCCUCUCUCUCUCUCUCUCUCUACUGCUCCUCUCCCCUCUCACUCUCACCGCCGCUCCACCAGCUACGGAACAACUCUCCUCCGCUGGUCCUCUUUACGUUCGCCAGCAACCGGAGCACCGAUUCACCUUCUUGUUGGUCACUGUCGCUUAAGAUUCAUUACCCACAGAAGCUCGAUCGACGGCUCCUCCCUCACAAAUAGUGUGAUGAUGGGGGUGACUUCGUCCUGCAAAGAGAGUAAAAUGGGAAUGGACAAUGGAAAAUAUAUGAGGUCCAUGCCAGAGCAAGUCAAAGCCCUCGAAAGGGUUUACCAUGAAUGCCCUAAACUGAGUUCACUUUGUCGGCAAUAGCUGAUUCACGAAUGCCGAAUUCUCUCCAACAUUGAUCCAAAGCAGAUCAAAGUUUGGUUUCAGAACCAAAGAUGUAGAGAGAAGCAGCGAAAGGAGGCAUCCAGUCUUCAAAUUGUGAAUAGGAAGUUAACUGCAAUGAAUAAGCUUUUGAUGGAGGACAUGAUUUUUGUAUGCUUAUUUGUUCUGUAUGAAAUUAUUAUUUUCAGUUGGAAAUACUUGGUUUGUAUAGAAUUUGCC